GGAAUAUUGGUCAAUGGGCGGGAGCCUGAACCAGCCAAGUCGCGUGAGGGAAGACGGUCCUAUGGAUUGUAAACCUCUUUAGGCGGGGAGCAAUGCCGGGCACGCGUGCCCGGAGGGAGAGUACCCGCAGAAUAAGCAUCGGCUAACUCCGUGCCAGCAGCCGCGGUAAUACGGAGGAUCCGAGCGUUAUCCGGAUUUAUUGGGUUUAAAGGGAGCGUAGGCGGGUUGUUAAGUCAGUUGUGAAAGUUUGCGGCUCAACCGUAAAAUUGCAGUUGAUACUGGCAUCCUUGAGUACAGUAGAGGUAGGCGGAAUUCGUGGUGUAGCGGUGAAAUGCUUAGAUAUCACGAAGAACUCCGAUUGCGAAGGCAGCCUGCUGGACUGUAACUGACGCUGAUGCUCGAAAGUGUGGGUAUCAAACAG
rnacentral:rRNA from 1 species